rnacentral:tRNA from 1 species
GGCUUCGUGGUCGAGUGAUAAGGACACUUGGCUCUCACCCUGAAGUCCCUGGUUCGAUCUCCGGUUGAGAAGCUA